CCUGAACGCUGGCGGCGUGGCUAAGACAUGCAAGUCGCACGGUGGCAGCAAUGCCACAGUGGCGAACGGGUGAGUAAUGAAUCGCUAACGUGCCCCGGACUCCGGGAUAGCCGCCCGAAAGGGCGGGUAAUACCGGGUAACAUCACGUCCCCGCAUGAGGAGGUGCUCAAAGGUCCGCCGGUCUGGGAGCGGGCGAUUUCGUAUCAGCUAGUUGGUGGGGUAACGGCCCACCAAGGCGACGACGCGUAGCCGGACUGAGAGGUUGGCCGGCCACAUCGGGGACUGAGACACUGCCCGGACUCCUACGGGGGGCUGCAGUAACGAAUCUUCCGCAAUGCACGAAAGUGUGACGGAGCGACGCCGCGUGGAGGACGAAGUCCCUCGGGAUGUAAACUCCUGUCAGGGGCCA
rnacentral:rRNA from 1 species